AACGAACGCUGGCGGCAGGCUUAACACAUGCAAGUCGAACGCCCCGCAAGGGGAGUGGCAGACGGGUGAGUAACGCGUGGGAAUCUACCCAGUUCUACGGAACAACAGAGGGAAACUUCUGCUAAUACCGUAUACGCCCUACGGGGGAAAGAUUUAUCGGAAUUGGAUGAGCCCGCGUAAGAUUAGCUAGUUGGUGAGGUAAUGGCUCACCAAGGCGACGAUCUUUAGCUGGUCUGAGAGGAUGAUCAGCCACACUGGGACUGAGACACGGCCCAGACUCCUACGGGAGGCAGCAGUGGGGAAUAUUGGACAAUGGGCGCAAGCCUGAUCCAGCCAUGCCGCGUGAGUGAUGAAGGCCUUAGGGUUGUAAAGCUCUUUCAGUGGGGAAGAUAAUGACGGUACCCACAGAAGAAGCCCCGGCUAACUUCGUGCCAGCCGCCGCAGUAAAAC
rnacentral:rRNA from 1 species